rnacentral:rRNA from 1 species
GCUGGCGGCAUGCCUUACACAUGCAAGUCGAACGGCAGCACGGAGCUUGCUCUGGNUGGCGAGUGGCGAACGGAUGAGUAAUAUAUCGGAACGUACCCUAGAGUGGGGGAUAACGUAGCGAAAGUUACGCUAAUACCGCAUACGAUCUAAGGAUGAAAGUGGGGGAUCCGCAAGAACCUCAUGCUCGUGGAGCGGCCGAUAUCUGAUUAGCUAGUUGGUAGGGUAAAAGCCUACCAAGGCAUCGAUCAGUAGCUGGUCUGAGAGGACGACCAGCCACACUGGAACUGAGACACGGUCCAGACUCCUACGGGAGGCAGCAGUGGGGAAUUUUGGACAAUGGGCGAAAGCCUGAUCCAGCAAUGCCGCGUGAGUGAAGAAGGCCUUCGGGUUGUAAAGCUCUUUUGUCAGGGAAGAAACGGUGAAAGCUAAUAUCUUUUGCUAAUGACGGUACCUGAAGAAUAAGCACCGGCUAACUACGUGCCAGCAGCCGCGGUAAUACGUAGGGUGCAGCGUUAAUCGGAAUUACUGGGCGUAAGCGUGCGCAGGCGGUUUGUAGUCUGAUUUGAAUCCCCGGGCUCACCUGGGAUUGCUUGGAAACUGCAGGCUAAAUCUGCGAAGGGGGU